rnacentral:rRNA from 1 species
CAACUCGCCUGCAUGAAGUCGGAAUUGCUAGCAAUCGCAGAUCAGCAUGCUGCGGUGAAUACGUUCCCGGGCCUUGUACACACCGCCCGUCACACCAUGGGAGUCGGUAACACCCGAAGUCGGUAGUCUAACCGAAAGGAGGACGCCGCCGAAGGUGGGAUUGAUGACUGGGGUGAAGUCGUAACAAGGUACC